rnacentral:tRNA from 1 species
GGGCCCCUAGCUCAGAUGGUCAGAGCAGCGGACUCAUAAUCCGUUGGUCCUGGGUUCGAUCCCCAGGGGGCCCA